UUUUAGUAGAUAUAACAAGAUUAUCCAGAAUUUAUCCUAUCGGUUGGCUUCGUGCAAACCUAUUUGUGGUAUGACUAAACCGUCCGGGAGAUAAGAUUAUAAAGUCGCAGUUGUCGUCGAUGUUUCUUGUCUAAUGACCUCUGCAGGCGAUACCGCGAGGUGGAUAUUUUUCUUGGUUUAUAUGAUACAAUUGCAUUUUGCACGGACUAAUAUAGGAUAUAAAUCGUCCUCCAUGGCAGAAAAAAAAGGAAACGUGAAGAAUGUAUAUAAAAGAAACAAAACAAAACAAAGCAAGAAGAGAAAACAAACAAGAAAAAAGAAAAACAUGGCAAGAAGAUCAAAGGAAACAACAUUUAGGACUACCGUAUAUUCCCAUAUACGGCACGUACGUUAGUAUCUCUACGUAAUGAAAACGUAAUAUCGUGCGAAAGUAUUUAAACAGCUCACUUAAAAUGUAGCCGAUUAACAGCAUGGCGGUUACGUCACACAGAGGCGUCCCGGCUGCCACGUCGACUACGUAGAGAUGUCGAUACGUGCCAAGUAAAAAACUUUUAUGUAUACUAUAUGUAGGUAUACGCUUAUACAGGAUGCAUGAAAACGGCCAUCUUUUUUCGCAAGGUAUAGUCCUCUCUUUCUCUCUCUCUCUCUCGGUCUCUUUGUCUUUCCCUCUCUCUCUCUCUCUCUCUCUCUCUCUCUCUCUCUCUCGACUCGGCAGAUCCUCUUUUUUUCAUACUAUAUGUAGGCGAGAAGAGAUCUUUGACCCUCAACAAAACCCGAAGUCGAUCGGUAGCUAAACGCAGCUUCUUCGUCGAGACCGCGGAUCCUUUUGCCCGGCUACUUACUUUUCAUCCUGACGCGAAUGAGUUAUAAACCCCUUUCGUGUUGUCCCGGUAGGAAGGAACAUAGCAGUACAUCCACCAACACUACAUUAGAGUCCUAUCAUCGUCAUCGAUGUCAAAGGAAUGGUAUCAACAUCUACCAUGCUAGACAUCUCUCUCUCUCUCUCUCUUUCUCUUUCUCUUUCUCUUUCUCUGUGUGGAUUCUAUCUAAAAAUAAAUCUUCGAAGACAUGUAAUGGGAUAAUAGAAUAGAAUUCUUCCUGGCAAGAAGCACGAGACACAGAGUAGGACCAGGAUAGAAGGUAUAUAAUCGAGACGCGAGUAUACGUUCGAAAACUGGUUCUCUCUUUCGUACCUUCCACCCGUCGAAAAGAAAUGUGCUUCGUGCCGCUGUGGCUGCUGCUGCUGCUGCUGCCGCUGCCACUGCCGCUGUUGCUCCUGCCGAAGCUGCCACUACCGCUGCUGCUGUUACCUCGGUUGCUCGUCUCUCUUACGUUUCGUGUCGACCGACCGACCGACCGACCGACCGACCGACCGGUACGACGUCGACUUAAGUCAUCUUUGCAGGAAGUGAAUUCGUCGAGAAAGAGAAAGAGAGAGAGAGAGAGAGAGAGAGAGACGUAGGCAAAUUCUUAUUUCAUUUUUAUCUAACGAGAAGAUUCAAGUUUAUAACUCUCUUUCUCUCUCCCUCUCUGCUUUUCGUUCGAUUAGAUCAUUAGUUCCUUCGAAUGAUUUCUUUCUUUUCUUUUAUUUCUUAUUUUCUUUCCUUUUUAUUUUUAUCUAUUAUAAAAGUUAUCUUCAACGAAGUAAACGAUUACGUCUUGUAAUGUAGUUAAAUUCGUUAAAGUCCAUCUUUGAAAAAAAGUCCUUGGAUCAUCGAUUUAACUAUCUUUCUUUUCGUGCCAAACGAAAACUCGUGCCAAAGACGAAGAGGAAGAAGAAGAAGAAGAAGAAGAAGAAGAAGAAGAAGAAAAAGAAGAAGAAGAAGAAGAAGAAGAAGAAGAAGAAGAAGAAGAAGAAUACGAAGGAGAAUACGAAGGAGAAGAAGGAGAAGGAGAAGAAGCUGCGGCCCUUUUGCACGAGGCUCGCUAGCAGAUUGGACAGGACGGCUCCCUGCACGUUUGCUAUUCGUGCGAGGGCCAUGAACCCCGAACAGGUUGCCCCCUUGGACGUUCACCUUCUGUAGGAACACCGUUCCCCCUCCCCGCAACAGGCUUCUCGAAAACCUGGCUCGCUGGCCCUUCCUUGUGCUCCAUCUCGUUCCAAGGACUCGUCCGUCUCUUUCCAACCCUCCUCACCUUCUCUUUCUCCCCAUUUUUCUCCCCGUCCACGAAAGCUGGCCACCCUGACCCUGAGGACCUAUGUCGCUUCUCUUCCCCACCGUACUCGGACCCCUCAACACACCUACCACCCGUUCGUGCGUACUAUAGUCACGCUAUACCGACGGUGUUAGAUAAUCCGACACGUUAAAAAUCUGUCGAUCUUCUAAGAACAUCUUUGAAGAUCUAAACACGAUAUAUGUAGAGCGAGACCAAACGGCAUGAACUAACAAUUUCGUUUGUUACCACCCGGCCCGUAGUCUUGCUCCUGGCCGGCCGGGGUUGCUUGGGGUAGAAGAGGAGGGCCGCAAAAUGGAUAGAGCAAGAUCGAAAUGUUAUUAAUGCUGCGCCGCACCGUCGAGAGAUUAUUACCUCUACCUGAACUAUCGAUAUUUUCGAUCAUAAGGAUUUCGAUUGACGAAAUUGGAAAGGACAUAGGCCCGUGGACAUACAUAUACCGUUUGGAAAGUCAUCGUACGCAGGUAACAGACGGUGGAAGGACAUUCUUCGUCUAGGACUAGACACCGUUAGAUCUUCCAGACGGUUGGAACGCCGGAAAGAGAGAGAGAGAGAGAGAGGAGGGAGAAAGAGGGAGAGAGAAAGCGAGAAAGAAUAAACGACCUUGGUUGCUCGAUCGAAGAAGACUAACUUUAUCUGUCGAUUUUUAUCAACAAAUAUUUUAUUUAUUACUCGUAGAAUGCAUAAUUCUUUUCUUUUUCUUUUUUUGUUUUAACUUACGUUUGUAUCUACAACGUAUUAUAAUUUCAUAAGAGAUAUGUAUUCCGAUUAUCAUUUUCAUAUAUCUAUAAGAAGAGCACAUUGGCUUUUUAUUCAAACAUACAUACAUACAUAUAUAUACACACAUACAUACAUACAUACACACACACACACACACGAAUAUAUACUAUACCAGCAAAGUAAUAAACGUCGAGAAGUAUCGCGAUAAAAGGCGCGCGCUCACGCAGCGGGCUGCUAUUAGAAAGAGUCUCGUCGUCGAUGUUGCCAGAAGGCCUUAAUUCGCCUGCAAAUUAUGUACGUCGACGGAGAAACGUUGGCGACGCAUUAAAAUCAUUUUAACGACGCGCUCCUUUUCUACAUCUUUUGUUCGGAGCAGCCAAGGUCGACGACAUAAGCGCGUGUGCGCUCGUACACUCAACACUUGCACGAUUAAACACUCGCACGUAUGCGAGCUCAUAGCGAUAGAGAAAAGAAAGAAAAAGAGAGAGAGAGAGAGAGAGAGAGAGAGUAAAGGAACGAAGAAAGGAGUCCGAGCAUUAUUUCGUAAUUCGGAUUAUACUUUGAGACCGUUAGGAGUUACAGACGGUCAAAGCACGGCAACAAAGUCGUUGCUGAAAGAUAGAAGAAGGAGAAGGAGAAAGAAGAUUCUAGCAACCUUGACUUUUCAUUCCUAACGCUCUUACAACACGCGUUUGAAUCUUCGAGACUUUUUAUUAUUCCAAACGGAUUGCGCAACGCGACGUCCUUUCGAUUUUGGCGCGCCAAGAAAAAACGAGUCGCGUCGACUCGCUCCACCGGAAGUCUAUCUAUCGAAACGAGUUUUUGUUUUUCUUUCUUUCUUUCUUUGUUUCUUUACUUAUUUCUUUUUUUCUUUCUUUCUUUUUUUUUUGUAUUUUGUUUUCUUUUGUUUCGUUUCGAAUUUCUUUGUUGUUUAUAUCUUCUUCUUUUUUAUAACGCUCAAAGAAAUAAACAAAACUAAAUUAUUUAACUCAUAAGCGAUGUCAUUCUGAACGUACUUUUAUCGUCAUAUCGUAAAUUAUGAAAAAAAGAAAAUAAAAGGAGAAAAGAAAAAUUAGAAAUAAAUUCUUUUCUAUUUCUUCGACUUUAAUUCAUUCGAUGAAAAUAGGAAAGCACGUGCAUUCGAUCAAGAGAGCUAUCGAAAGUCACGUAAUCGCGUUAGAAUUAUUUUCCUUUUUUUAAAUACACAUGUAUGUACAUAUUAUACUCUCAUAUCGAGGGAUAAAUUUCUUUUCUAUUUUUUUUUUCCUUUUGAAAACUACUCGACAAGCCUUGCAUUGCUGCUAUAGCUAGUUUCACGCUAUAACGAUUCUUCGACGAAUUCGCCGAAACGCACUUCGACCAGAUGCAUAUAUAAAUGCAGCAAUUACGCUACGAGCGCAACGUCUAGACGGAUUAAAGUAAACAGGAUGUCUCGUUCCACUCGCAGUGAGAGCCCCUUCCUAGACGAAACGCUGACACGUUCGUCGUACCGAUCCAUAUAUAUAUAUGCGCCAAGCUUUAUCGCUUUGCGGUUACGUUAUCGUCUCGUUCGAUGAGAGAGAAGAGAACGUACAAAAAUUCAUCAUGACCUUUUCGUCAAAUAGAAACUAAAAAAAAAUCGGCAAGAAUUUGAGAAAUAACGGGGAAAUAUCAAAAGGUUCCUUUAUAUCCAAUAUUUUUAAUAUUAUUAUUAUUACUAUUAUUAUUAUUAUUAUUAUUAUUAUUAUUAUUAUUAUUAUUAUUAUUAUUAUCAACGAAUUAUAUAAUCAUUCAUUUUAUUUUGAUUAACAUAUUUCGAAUAGGAUCAAUCCUCAAUGUCGAUCGUUGAUGCGUGCCUUCUAUGAUCCAUGAUAUUUAGGAUAAAUUAUAAUCAAAUUUAGGAGAAGAUGGAUUAAAUUCAAAUUUAUUCCUAUUCAUUUUUUAAAUUAACCGGGACAAUUUACCAUAACUAUAAUUUGCCACGUCAUGAAACCAUUUCUUUCCUCUUCAAAUUCCUCGUUUCGGAACUGAAAAAAAAACGAUCGGGGUCGAUAUUUCGUUCGUUCGUUCAUUCGCCAUUAAUAAAGGCAUCAACAUUUUUUCGAUCGUAUGGAAUGAAAUCACAAAGGGAAGGAAAAAAGGAUGAUGCACGGAGUGCAUCAUGCGUAAGCGCACUCGUGCAUGAAGGUUCGCCUUUCCGUUGAACUUGGCCGACUUCUCCGAUGCACGCCGUGCCUAUCCCCUACCAUCGUACGUCCUCGUUUUCUCCUUCUAACGCACGUUCACGGUCAGACCCAAGCGUAACUCGCUUCGCUUUCUAACGCUUCGUUUAAAUGGGGGGACUGUGCCAGUCUGGCGAGACACGUUACGAGGCAACAUAUACACAUACACAUACAUACAUGCAUGUACACAUGCAUAUACGCAUACACCGUAGUUUCGCUCGUAACUCCGUCGAAGGACGAUCUAUCACUUCCGUGGCGACUCUCAGGGCCACUGUCUCGCCUUCUAACAACGAGAUUCAUUACCAAGGACUAGACUACGUACAAACACGUUCCCGACGUAAAGCAGACGCGAUCCAGACACUAGCCAGACGCAUCGAGAGGCUUCCUAACCGCCGGAAGUUUCGUCGAAUGAUUAUUAUAGUGAAAUUUAGAUUUUACAGACUUUGUAUGCAUGUAUGUAUUAUAUAUAUAUAUAUAUAUAUAUAUAUAUAAUGUAUAACCCGAACUGAUAAACGAGAUGUAAGCUGCAUAAUUUAUUAAUUAUUAAUCAUUAAUAGACGUUUCAUAUAUUUAUUUUUACUUGAAUAUUAAAAAAUUUCAUUAUUUCUUUUUCCCCACAUAUACGAAAAGAUUUUAUAUCAUUUAUCAUAAUGAUCGAGAAAAAGAAAAAGGAAGAAUAAUAAAGUUAGGAAAUAUCAACACGAAAGAUGAAGAAUCAUAUUAUUCGAAUAAAUUUGAAUUUGAAAAUGAAGCCUCCUUUUAUUUUAUGACCAUUCAAAAUCACGCGUAGAAUCUUCCGCAUACCAUUUUUUGAUAUUUCUGAAUCGGCCAGUCAGUCCAAUUUAAAAACUUAGGUUUCCCCUGAGUUGUGCCGUAAUCCAGUAUCCGCUAUAGUAUUUACCGUUAAUACAAGACACGUUGUGGUAUACCGAGGUGAUAUUAUGCGAACGUUUCUCAUAUAAUACCCUCGAGCUAUCCGAGAGGUCAGCGGAACGAAGAUCAAGAUGGCCCGUUACGAUAUUCUCAACAGCUUUUGUUCGACGAACGUCCUCACUUUUUCGCAAAUUCUCAUCGAUUUGACGCUGAAUGAAGUCUAAGACGAGAUCGUCUUAUCGUCGUAUUUCUUAUCGCGAAACGUACGAGAACUUAACUCUGGAAUUAGAAAGAGAUUUUAAAAGCUUCUUGCCAAAAAUAAAAUAAAAAAAAAGAAACAAACAAACAAAGAAGGACCAAAAAAAAAAAAGAAAAAAUGCAAAAAAUUAUCCAUUUAUUCGAUCAUUGUCAAACGACAGAUCGAUCCAAACGGCACGUAAAUAUAAUAAUAAGCAUUUUUAUUUCCAAAUAAUUAACGGUGUAUAAACGUAGA